rnacentral:rRNA from 1 species
AACGAACGCUGGCGGCGUGGAUAAGACAUGCAAGUCGAACGGUGACUAGUUGGCAGCAAUGUUGGCUAGUUGUAGUGGCGAAAGGGUGAGUAACACGUGGGUAAUCUGCCGUGAAGUUCGGAAUAACCUCGAGAAAUCGUGGCUAAUACCGGAUGUGAUAUCUUGGAGGCAUCUCUGAGACCUUAAAGCUGGGGACCGAAAGGCCUGGCGCUUCACGAUGAGCCCGCGACCUAUCAGCUUGUUGGUGAGGUAAAAGCUUACCAAGGCAAUGACGGGUAGCCGGUCUGAGAGGACGAUCGGCCACACUGGAACUGAGACACGGUCCAGACACCUACGGGUGGCAGCAGUCGAGAAUCUUUCACAAUGGGGGAAACCCUGAUGGAGCGACGCCGCGUGGGGGAUGAAUGGCUUCGGUCCGUAAACCCCUGUCAUUUGUUAACAAACCUCUUAAAUUAAUAGCUUAAGAGCUGAUAGUAGCGAAAGAGGAAGGGACGGCUAACUCCGUGCCAGCAGCCGCGGUAAUACGGAGGUCCCAAGCGUUGUUCGGAUUCACUGGGCGUAAAGGGUGCGUAGGCGGUUAGGUAAGUUCGAUGUGAAAGCUCCGGGCUCAACCCGGAAAUGGCAUUGAAAACUACCUAACUUGAGGGUCGGAAGGGAGACUGGAAUUCCCGGGUGUAGCAAAGAAACGCGUAUAUAUCAAGUGGAACACCAAAUACUUGGUGUAGCAGUGAAAUGGGUAGAUUUCAAAGUGGACCUCCAGAGGCAAAGGGGAGUCUGUGGACAUUUCCUGACGGUUGAGGCACGAAAGCCAGGGAAGCAAACGGGAUUAGAUACCCCGGGUAGUCCUGGCCUUAAACGGUGCACGUUUUGCUGUAAGAGGAAUCGACCCCUUUUGUGGCGAAGCUAACGCGUUAAACGUGCCGCCUGGGAAGUACGGUCGCAAGAUUAAAACUCAAAGAAAUUGACGGGGGCCCGCACAAGCGGUGGAGUAUGUGGCUUAAUUCGAUGCAACGCGAAGAACCUUACCUGGCCUUGACAUGCAAGUGGUAGGAACCUGAAAGGGCGACGACCUAGCAAUAGGAGCUUACACAGGUGCUGCAUGGCUGUCGUCAGCUCGUGUCGUGAGAUGUUGGGUUAAGUCCCGCAACGAGCGCAACCCUUGUGUCCUGUUGCCACUCCUUAAUUGGAAGCACUCUGGACAGACUGCCCGGUUUCAACCGGGAGGAAGGUGGGGAUGACGUCAAGUCAGUAUGGCCCUUACGGCCAGGGCUGCACACGUACUACAAUGCUUGGUACAAAGGGAAGCAAUACCGCGAGGUGGAGCCAAUCUCAUAAAGCCAAGCCCAGUUCGGAUUGUAGUCUGCAACUCGACUACAUGAAGCCGGAAUCGCUAGUAAUGGCGCAUCAGCUACGGCGCCGUGAAUACGUUCCCAGGCCUUGUACACACCGCCCGUCACAUCAUGAAAGUCGGCUGAUCCCGAAGUCACCCCUUAAAAGGUGUCGAAGGUAUGGCUGGUGAUUGGGAUGAAGUCGUAACAAGGUAACC